rnacentral:tRNA from 1 species
GCCCUGUGGUGUACAGCACAUAAAAUUGCAAAUUUUAAAGAGCAAAUAGACUCCUGCCGGGGCUU